rnacentral:tRNA from 1 species
AUUUAAAUAGUCUAAUAAAGAUACUGGUUUGUGGGGCCAGAGAUAUAAGUAGUUAUUUUAGAUC